rnacentral:lncRNA from 1 species
UAAGCUACAAGAGACUCUGCCAAAACCCAGAAUUCUCUUCUGUUUUUUCACCCUUUUGUUUCCCAGAGAAAUUUCCCAAAACGGUGUCUCAGAAAGUGAAAAUCUUGAUGAAAAACAAGGGCAACGGAGGUAAUUUGAACCAAAAACUCCAUUUACCCAUUACCUAAACUACAAGAGACUCUGCCAAGACCCAGAAUUCUCUUAUGCUUUUUCACCCUUUUGUUUCCCAGAGAAAUUUCCCAAAAGGGUGUCUCGGAAAGUGAAAAUCUUGAUGAAAAACAAGGGCAACGGAGGUAAUUUGAACCAAAAACUCCAUUGAAAUCAGCACAAGAAGAAGAAGCUCCGAAUAGAACUUCUGUCAAGAUAAUUGCCACCAUCUCAAC